rnacentral:lncRNA from 1 species
ACUUUUUCUCAUUCAAUCAAACAAAGAGUAAAACCUAAUUGUAUUAUUCUAUUAUGCCCCGAGAGUGUAAUAUUGGAACGAAUCGAAGUCAACGUUCACAAGAACCAAAACCGGAACAACAUUAAACUACUCGGUUGCGCCCUAACAGUAUAAAUUUGCAACGAGUACUUUUUCUUAUUCUAUCGAACAAAGAGUAAAAGCUAAUUAUAUUGUUCUAUUAUGCCCCGAGAGUGUAAAUUUCGAACGAAUCGUUGUCAAUGUUCACAAGAACCAAAACCGGAACAACAUUAGACUACUCAGUUGCACCCUAACAGUAUAAAUUUGCAACGAGUUCUUUUUAUCAAUCUAUCGAACAAAGAGGAAAAACUAAUUAUAUUGUUCUAUUAUGCCCUGAGAGUGUAAAUUUCAAACGAAUCGAUGUCAACGUUCACAAGAACCAAAACCGAAACAACAUUAGACUACUAAGUUGCGCCUUAACAGUAUAACUUUGCAACGAGUACUUUUUCUCAUUCAAUCGAACAAAGAGUAAAACCUAAUUACCUUGUUCUAUUAUGCCCCGAGACUGUAAAUUUCGAACGAAUCGAUGUCAACGUUCACAUGAACCAAAAUCGGAACAACAUUAGACUACUUAGUCGCGCCCUGACAAUAUAACUUUGCAACGAGUACUUUUUCUCAUUCAAACAAACAAAGAGUAAAAACCUAAUUAUAUUGUUCUAUUUUACCCAGAGAGUGUAAUAGUGGAACGAAACGAUGUCUACGUUCACAAGAACCAAAAUCGGAACAACAUUAGACUACUCAGUAGCGGCCUAACAGUAUAAAUUUGCAACGAAUACUUUUUCUCAUUCUAUCGAAGAAAACGUAAAACCUAAUUAUAUUGUUCUAUUAUGCCCUGAGAGUGUAAUGUUGGAACGAAUCGUUGUCAACGUUCACAAGAAGCAAAAUCGGAACAACAUUAGACUACUUAGUUUCGCCCUAACAGUAUAAAUUUGCAACGAGUUCUUUUUCUCAUUUAAUCAAACAAAGAGUAAAACCUAAUUAUAUUGUUCUAUUAUGCCCUGAGAGUGUAAUGUUGGAACGAAUCGUUGUCAACGUUCACAAGAACCAAAACCGGAACAACAUUAAACUACUCAGUUUCGCCCUAACAAUAUAAAUUUGCAUCGAGUACUUUUUCUCAUUUAAUCAAAAAAAAGUAAAACCUAAUUAUAUUGUUCUAAUAUACCCCGAGAGUGUAAUGUUGGAAGGAAUCGAUGUCAACGUUCACAAGAAUCAAAACCGAAACAACAUUAGACUACUCACUUGCGCCCUAAUAUUAUAACUUUGCAACGAGUACUUUUUCUCAUUCAAUCAAACAAAGAGUAAAUCCUAAUUAUAUUGUUCUAUUAUGCCCCGAGAGUGUAAUGUUGGAAGGAAUCGAUGUCAACGUUCACUAGAACCAAAACCGGAACUGCAUUAGACAACUCACUUGCGCCGUAACAGUAUAAAUUUGCAACGAGUGCUUUUUCUCAUUCUAUCGAACAAAGAGUAAAAGCUAAUUAUAUUUUUCUAUUAUGAUGCCCCGAGAGUGUAAAUUUCGAACGAAUUGAUGUCAACGUUCACAAGAACCAUAACCGAAACAACAUUAGACUACGCAGUUGCGCCCUAACUGUAUAACUAUGCAACGAGUACUUUUUCUCAUUCAAUCAAACAAAGAAUAAAAGCUAAUUAUAUUGUUGUAUUAUGCCCCGAGUGCGUAAAUUUUCGACAAAUCGAUGUCAAUGUUCAUAAGAACCAAAACCGGAACAACAUUAGGCUACUCAGUUGCGCCCUAACAGUAUAAAUUGGCAACGAGGGCUUUUUCUCAUUCUAUCGAACGAAGAGUAAAAAAUGUGUCGGUUCUAUUAUGCCCCGAGAGGGUAAAUUAGAUGUCCACAUUCACAAGAACGAAAACCGGAACAACAUUAAGCUACUCAAUUGCGGCCAAACAGCAUAAAUUUGGAACGAGUAAUUUUUCUCAUUCAAUCGAACAAAGAGUAAUACCUAAUUAAAAUGUUCUAUUAUGCCCCGAGAGGGUAAAUUAGAUAUCCACGUUCACAAGAACGAAAACCGGAACAACAUUAGACUACUCAAUUGCGCCCUAACAGUAUAAAUUUGCAACGUGUACUUUUUCUCAUUCAUUCAAACAAAGAGUAAAACCUAAUUAAAAUGUUCUAUUAUGCCCUGAGAGGGUAAAUUAGAUGUCCACGUUCACAAAACGAGAACCGGAACAACAUUAGGCUACUCAAUUGCGCCCUAACAUUAUAAAUUUGCAACGAGUACUUUUUCUCAUUCAAGCGAAUAAAGAGCAAAACCUAAUUAAAAUAUUCUAUUAUGCCCCGGGGAGGUAAAUUAGAUGUCCACGUUCACAAGAACGAAAACCGGAACAACAUUAAGCUACUCAAUUGCGGCCAAACAGUAUAAAUUUGGAACGAGUACUUUUUCUCAUUCAACCGAAUAAAGAGUAAUACCUAAUUAAAAUGUUAUAUUAUGCCCCGAGAGGGUAAAUUAGAUAUCCACUGUCACGCCCCGAGACCGAUACCAAUUUGGUCCGGCCCGGGCGCGUCGAACAGACGCCGAACGGACAGGACCUACCCCGUCCGCCCAAGGCUAACCAACGGAUCAUGUAUAAGAAUUUACCCAGAAAUCAAUUCAUAAAUACACGA